rnacentral:misc_RNA from 1 species
UCGUUUAUUCCUACGCCGUCUGACAGCAGCCGCAACCCACGCAAACAAGAGUGCAAUUUUGAUAAAUAAUUUAACAAUAUUCAUUCAUUAUGGAACUUGCAAAAACAGUAUUCGGUGGAAGGGCAACAGAUGGAUACAGCGGCAAAGCAAAUAAAGUGGAGACAUUGUCAGAGGAUGAGGAGGAUAUAGGUGAAGGAUGUACAGAAUCUGUGAGCGUGUCAGCCACAUAUCCAUACAAGGGAUCUUCAGAUUUCAGUCCUACACCAGGAGGGCCCUUCUCAGCACUCACCCCUUCCAUGUGGCCUCAAGACAUAAUGGUGAAACUGGGAAAUCCACCUGAAGAUUCAAAUGGACAGUUGGAUUACCGGUAUGAUGAGUUUGGAUUUAAAGUAGAGGAAGAAGACGGUCCUGAGGAGAACUCAAGUAAGUUAUUGAGCACACCGUUUGUUGAGGAUGCCCAGCACAGGUUGAAGUGGGUCGCUUAUCUCGAGUUUACACAUAAUGAAGAGGUGGAGGAUUUAACCUGGGAUAAGGUGGACAGUCGUUUCCAGAGAACAGAGAAGCUGCGUCAGAUGGCAAGAGCGGGUAUCCCACACUCCCUCAGGCCUCAAAUGUGGAUGAGACUGUCUGGAGCCCUUGAUAAAAAGAAGAAAUCAGACCUUACCUACAAGGACAUUGUGAAAGCAAGCUCUAACGAUCACCUGAUGACCUCCAAACAAAUUGAAAAAGAUCUGUUGCGUACAAUGCCAAGUAAUGCAUGUUACUGUAACAUACACAGUACUGGUAUACCAAGAUUACGCCGUAUCCUGCGUGGCUUAGCAUGGCUGUUUCCAGACAUUGGAUACUGUCAGGGUACUGGAGUGAUUGCAGCCUCAUUGUUGUUGUUCCUGGAAGAAGAAGACACCUUUUGGAUGAUGUGUGCCAUUAUAGAGGACCUUCUUCCUGCAUCGUACUAUUCUAGUACUCUACUUGGUAUUCAGGCUGAUCAGCGAGUACUUAGACAGCUUAUUACCAGUUACUUACCAGAUACAGAUCUUGUGCUGAAAGAACAUGAUAUAGAGUUAUCCCUGAUAAGCCUGCAUUGGUUCCUGACCCUGUUUGCCAGCGUUGUACACAUGAAGGUUUUACUGAGACUCUGGGAUCUUUUCUUCUAUGACGGAUCUACUACACUCUUCCAGAUGACCAUGGGCAUGUUAAAAAUGAAGGAGAGUGAGUUGAAGACGUUAGACAACUCUGCCCAGAUAUUUAAUGCACUGUCUGAUGUUCCUGGUGAUGUACAGGAUGUGGAUGAGUUAAUAGAGCUUUCAUACAGAGUAUGUGGAUCACUGACAGACAUUGUUGUAGAUACACACAGGCGCAAGCAUCUUGCCUACAUUAUGGCAGACCAAGGUGCAAUUGUCAAUCCAGAAUCAGCCAAAAACUUACCAAAACAGCAAUUAAAUAAACGACAUUUGCGUCGAUCAAAGUCACUGAUGUCAUUGUUACUCUGGGGUGAGAAUGAUGAUGAUGAAUUUGGUAAAGCAAAGAAUAUACGACAGACAGAGCUGCUGGUGGAUCUACGAGAAGCCAUAUUACAAGUGGCACGACACUUCCAGUCUCUCGAUCCAAAAAAUAUUAAAGUGAACUUACAAGCAGAUUAUUCCAUGGAGAGCCAUGCCAAAGAUCUAGAGAACUACGUAAAUGUAGCAAGAAAUCGACGGAGAAGAGCGAAGGCCCUGCUUGACUUUGAGAGACAUGAUGACGAUGAACUUGGCUUUAGGAAAAAUGACAUUAUCACAAUAAUCUCAAUGAAGGAUGAGCACUGUUGGGUGGGAGAGUUGAAUGGUCUGCGAGGCUGGUUCCCCGCAAAGUUUGUAGAGUUACUUGAUGAGAGGAGUAAAAGCUACUCUCUUGCUGGUGAUGAUGGUGUGUCAGAAGCUAUUACAGAUCUAGUCAGGGGCACACUGUGUCCUGCAUUGAAGGCAAUAUUUGAGCAUGGUUUGAAGAGACAUUCACUGCUGGGUAGUAUAUGUCAUCCAUGGCUCUUCAUGGAAGAGGCUGCUUCACAUGAAGUUGAGAAAGAUUUUCAAUCAGUAUAUUCCAGACUUGUACUUUGUAAAACAUUCCGGUUAGAUGAAGAUGGAAAGGUGCUAACCCCAGAAGAAAUUCUAUAUCGGGCUGUUCAGGCUGUUAAUAUCUCCCAUGAUGCUGUACAUGCUCAGAUGGAUGUCAAGCUACGCUCCCUGAUCUGUUGCGGACUCAAUGAGCAAGUUUUACAUCUAUGGUUGGAGACCCUGUGUUCAUGUACAGAUGUGGUAGAAAAGUGGUACCAUCCUUGGUCUUUUAUGCGUAGCCCAGGGUGGGUCCAGAUCAAAUGUGAGCUCAGGUUGAUUUCUCAGUUUGCCUACAAUCUGUCAAUAGACUGGGAGCUACCCAAAAAGACGGAGCCCACAGCUCGACCCCUGAAGGAAGGGGUCAAGGACAUGUUGGUCAAACAUCAUCUAUUCAGCUGGGACUUGUAGCACUGGUGUCUGGGUUGCUUUGUAUGGGAUGGAAAUUUAUAUAUCUAUUCAAUUUUACAAGUCGUGUAGCGUCAAAGGUCACUAAAGACGUAUGUACGGUAGAAGCCAAAUUGAAGAUAUGACUACAAAGGGACGCGAUGUUAUAAUAUUGAAUGCAGUUGUAAUUAACGAUUAUUAUACGACUAACAGCUGUGAUUUAGUUCUUUAUCGUGUAAUGAACAUAAACAUUGAGCACGAAUUUGUGAGAAAAACCUAAGUUCAAACAGUAUAUUUCUAUGUUUCUGAACAAAACACUUGGCAAUGUGUUCUCAACUUUUUUGCUUAAUUAAUUAAUGUAAUGUCUAAAAUAGAUGUAAUUGACAUUGCACGUGUGUAAUUGCCUUGAACCUUGAGCGUCUUACUUCAAAUUCUCUCAGAAUUCAUCACCAACUGUCGCCAAUCCACACCCACCCACACGAAAUCUCCCCUUUCUAAAUAGUAUGAAAUAAAAGUAAUGAGCCUAAAUAGAAAUUUGGUAAAGCAUUAGCCAUAUUUUUCUACAACAGAUACAUUAUUUGAAAUUUAGCUCCUGUAAAAACGAAAAACAGACAUAUUAUGUCCGCUUAUAAUGUAAAAAUCACAUGGAGAUUGGGUGGAUAUUAAACAGGGAGGAUUUGUAUUGUAUAUCACAAUCAUAAUUAUUUACUGGAAACUACAACAAUUGAAUAAUUAUGAAAUAAACUGCAUCAAGUAAAAACUUUUCUUGUAACGUCUUCAUCAUUUUUUUCACGAAGAAAAGCUGUCGUAUCUGCUGCUUUAUUCAUACAUUGUUACAAAAUUCUCCGGGGCUAUUAUAUCGUCAUUUUAGCUCACCUGAACCAACGGUUGAGAGUUAGCUAUUUGUAUUGGUAGAUGGUACGACAUUCAUCGUCCGUCGUCCACAGUUUUACUGUUAACACAAAAGAGGUAAUGAUUUUGGCUCAGUCUUAAUGAAACUUGGUCAGAAUGACUAAUACUGGGUCAUCUGGGAUCGGAAUCUAGGUCACUACGUCAAGUCAUAGGUAAUCCUUGUUAACACUCUAGAGGAUACCUUUUUUACCUGCUCUUUAUGAAACGUAAUCAGAAUCUAGGUCAAGUUCGAAACUAGGUAUGGGAUCAAAAACUACGUCACUAGAUCAUAUUUCAUAAAAACCUUGUUAACACUCAAAAAGUCACAUUUUCUACAUGUAAUCUGGACAGAACGCUUGUAUUUAUAAAAUCUAGGUCAGGUUCUAAUGUAAAAAACUGGUCUCAAUGUCAAUUCAAAGAAAUCCAUGUUGACACUUUACAGGCUAUUUCUUUUUAUUAGCUCAUCUGUCACGUAGUGACAGGGUGAGCUUUUGUGAUCGCCCUUCGUCCGUCGUCCGUCCGUCCGUCCGUC